AAUCAACGCUGGCGGCGUGCCUCAGACAUGCAAGUCGAACGCGAAAGUCCCCUUCGGGGGGCGAGUAGAGUGGCGCACGGGUGAGUAACACGUAGGUAAUCUACCCCGAGUGGGGAAUAACUCAGGGAAACUUGAGCUAAUACCGCAUAAUGCAGCGGCACCACAUGGUGACAGUUGUUAAAGCAUUUAUGCGCUUGGGGAGGAGCCUGCGGCAGAUUAGCUAGUUGGUAAGGUAAUGGCUUACCAAGGCUACGAUCUGUAACCGGCCUGAGAGGGCGGACGGUCACACUGACACUGAAUAACGGGUCAGACUCCUACGGGGAGGCAGCAGUC
rnacentral:rRNA from 1 species